rnacentral:lncRNA from 10 species
CGAUGCCUGGGCUGAUAGCAAUCAGGUCCUGCUAUGGUUCUUUCAGGAAGAGCUGACCCCUGGAAUCUGGGCUAGACUUGCACUUGUUUUGGCCAUUGGAAUAUCAAGCUGACUUUUUGUGGGCUCUGGAGACUAGGACCUAAAAGGAGGAAUGUUGCCCCCUCAUCAUUAUGUAAAGAAGCUGGCGCAACCUGCUGGAGGAGAAUAUGCCACCUGGGGAAGAACUGAGGCACCCAGCCAACAUCCAGCACCCACCACUAGACAUGGCAAGCCCAAUGCCUGACCAACAAGCAGUGGAAAACACUGGUCGGUUACUAAUGGAGAAGAAGAAAAAGCAGCAAAGACAACGAGUAUACUUGGGAUGCGAUCGCAUGCCUGGAGCAUCUGGUGGG